rnacentral:rRNA from 1 species
AGGGUUUGAUUAUGGCUCAGGAUGAACGCUGGCGGCGUGCUUAACACAUGCAAGUCGAACGAAGCAAUCUUGAAACCUAGUGAUGGAUUGACUGAGUGGCGGACGGGUGAGUAACGCGUGGGUAACCUGCCUCAUACAGGGGGACAACAGUUAGAAAUGACUGCUAAUACCGCAUAACCCGCUAGGGCCGCAUGGCCCGGACGGAAAAGGAGCAAUCCGGUAUGAGAUGGACCCGCGUCUGAUUAGCUAGUUGGUGGGGUAACGGCCUACCAAGGCGACGAUCAGUAGCCGAACUGAGAGGUUGACCGGCCACAUUGGGACUGAGACACGGCCCAA